rnacentral:rRNA from 1 species
CCUACGGGUGGCAGCAGUGAGGAAUAUUGGUCAAUGGGCGCGAGCCUGAACCAGCCAAGUCGCGUGAGGGAAGACGGUCCUAUGGAUUGUAAACCUCUUUUGCCGGGGAGCAAAAGACGCCACGUGUGUCGUUCCGAGCGUACCCGAAGAAAAAGCAUCGGCUAACUCCGUGCCAGCAGCCGCGGUAAUCCGGAGGAGGCGAGCGUUAUCCGGAUUUAUUGGGUUUAAAGGGUCCGCAGGCGGAAGCUCAAGUCGGCGGGAAAAUUUACAGGCUCAACCUCUUCGGGCCGUUGAAACUGUGUACCUUGAGUGCGCGAAGGGUAGGCGGAAUGCGUGGUGUAGCGGUGAAAUGCAUAGAUAUCACGCAGAACUCCGAUCGCGAAGGCAGCCUACCGGCGCGCAACUGACGCUCAUGCACGAAAGCGUGGGUAUCGAACAGGAUUAGAUACCCCUGUAGUC